UUCCUCGCGGUUUGAAGUGGUCUGGUAGUACGAGGCUCGGCAGUCAAUGGACAUCUUGCAACCGCGAUUUUGACAUAAACGAAGCGCUGUCUUUUUGCGCACCUUUCAAGCAGUAACCUGCGCCGUUUAUUAAAAGGGGGCCUCAGUUUUUGUCGUCCGCUGAACGUGGUUUUCUCGGCACAAAUCAAUUUCAAUAAAUUAGACGACAGGUGUAUACAUUGGAUAUGCAUUUUGCCAACUGGCAUUAUAUUUCAAACUAGGCAUUGGUUGUUAUAUGGGGAGAAGUCUAACAGAAGGCCUAUCAGACAGGUGCCAACUGGUUCUUCUAAAGGCAGGAAAAUCUUAGAGACUUGGCCAAAGUCAGGGUGUGAAAUGAGUAAACAUGACAUUGGGGCACUGUCUUUGUGCUGUGUGUGUAUGUGGAAGAAUAUGCAAAGUUGAAUGUACGCAAUAGCAGGAAGCGGUUUGGGAGGUGUGCCAAAGUGGGUGUUCCUAAAGUAGGCGUCUGACAGAUUUGAAAGCCUAAAACUAAGAAACGGCUUCGUUGUGGAAUAUGAAACGUUGCAAGCAGAUCCCCGGCAUGGCGGUGCACAACGUAUGCGGGCUGGAUUUUCGAUUGCUGCUUUUGAUUCCGUUUCGUUGCACGUUAGAGGCCGAAAACAUGCGAAAAAUAUUAUUCUAAAAUCGCAGAACGAAGCAAUCAAAAAUCGAACUCGCAGUUCUUUGUUGUAUCGCUAAUUUCUAUGUCUUGUGCAAAUUUGAAGUGCGUAGCGAGUUGCGUUACUUAGGAGUACAUUUUGAAUGCGCGCUUGGGGGAGCGUUUCAUAUUGCGCAUUGCUAUUGGUCAAUUUUCUAACUACCCGUAUGUGAAUGGUAACGACCCUACCUAUGUCCUUGCAGAUCACCGUUACUAUCCGUCUAUGGACAACGGUCCUUCAGCUCUUACAGGAUCUCAUGUAUUCAAAAUGGCGUAAGGGGGUGUUUCACUUUUUAAUUAAUUAAUUAAUUAAUUAAUUGGUUAUCGUAACUCUCUGUAAGUUAUGUUUAUAAACAUUGAACAGUUAGUUCUAGUUUGUAACUUGUCAUAACUGUUUUGCAGUCUUUGGGUCAAGAGUCCUACUAAACUAUAAAUUGUGCAUUUAUGUAUGUAUUGGUAGUAAUUUUAUUGUGAGAUUGACAAAUGGUAUCCUGCUUAUUUGAUGCACGUAUGGUUGGACCGUACAUGCACUAGAAAUUAGAAUUUGAGUUUUAAUUAAGAAAGGCUUGUUUUGUACCUUGUCUUGGACCAUGUGGGCGUUGCAGGCUGCUUUCGCCUUUUUGAAGGAAUCUGUGUCCUCAGAAACAUGUGCAGUGUCUUUGUGAACCUGUUUGGACUCUAGUCUCUGUUUCUUUCGUCUUGGUUCACCAAUAGAGUCUUCUUUCUCCUUACUAAUGUUGUCACAGUUUGGCUGGAAAACAGCAUCUCAAGUCAUACAUUCAUUUCUGGCUUGUGUUGCCACAACACUUAAUUAAAGAACUUCUUAACCAAUCCCAUGCUGUGCAAGGAAUGGGGAAUUGCGGGGAAACUCUUGGCAAACCUAUCAGGGAAGCUCCACAUCUAUUGCUUGCCAGCCAGCUCUCCUUCUUGUGAAGAUCAGUUCAUAAUGACGUAGAGAGUGGGUUCAUUCUGAAUACUCAAGGUAAUCUGUGGCAAUCAGUGGACAAUGAGACAAGGAAAAGAGUCAUGGUGUUGUCCUACAUGGACUUCAAGAGCUAGAUUAAACCUUAAUUUAUGUCUGAUUAUUCUUCUAUUUAUUCUUUUAUGUUUACUCUUCUAUGCAUGGCUACCUAUUUUUACUUGUUACGCUUAUGUAUCUUGUCUUGCCUAGGGCACUGUACCUGUAGCGGUAUGAAUCAAAAUAUUAUUAUUAUUAUUGUUAUUGUUAUUAUUGAAUGAAUGAAUGAUGAAUGAUAUAUUUGAUUAUAUUUGAUUAUUAUUAUGUUGUGCUCAACCAGAUCAGUCUGAUUCAUAAGGUCACUGGUAAACACCGAAAGCAACCCUGCCUCAGAGGUGCUUAGACCAUCAUGGCUGUCUAGACAGAAGACAUGACUUUACGCAGGAUCCGACUGGAUUCAAGAAGCACUGAGAGGUAAUUACAUUCACAGUGGGUGUAUACUAAGGGAAUUAUACAGGCAGGGAAUUAAUCAGGAACGAAUUAUUUGGAGAAAUACUGUACCUCAUCAAACAGUCUGCUUGUGCUCAUGUCUUGAACUUAAUAUACAUUGUGGUAUGUUAACGAAUUAAAUAAAUUCUCAUUUAAUUCAAUAGCUGUUGUCUACGUUUUGACUGCAUCAUGUGUAUAGAUGCUGAUCUGCAUCCUGUGAGAAAAGAAAUAGCGACUGCUGCUGUUGCACAUACACAAUGGAAGUUGUUUAUUACAAGUCACAUUAUAGAUCUGACC